rnacentral:lncRNA from 1 species
GCAGCAGCUGGGGAGGGUUAAAACAAAGACUCUGCCUUGAGGCUGUGCUAAAGAGAGGCUGUAGAUAUUUGUGUCUCAGCAGUUCAGCUGAUGGAUGCCUCUAGAGGUUCCUGGUGCCUGGGUACAAUUUUUACUUGCCCUCUCCUGUGUUGGUUUUUUUUUUGUGAUGGAGGAUGCUGAGGGCUGAAGGCACCAGCUGGAUGGACUGCUGCAGGCACUAGUUUUAAAGGUAUGUUGAUCCAGCCAGCUGUGCUCAAGGAUAUGGACAAGAUAAGGUUUGUCAGUAAUACAUUUUGUUCCCAUCAAGUUAGUCUGGUGAAAGAUACCAUUUUCUACAAAAAAAGUUGAUGUUAUAUGUUGCUGAAACCACUGGGUGUUCAGAAAAUAGAGAGGCUAAUUACAGAGAGAGGAUAGAUCAGCCUCCCUGUAGCAUUCCCAGCACUGGGAUGAAUUAGAGUUUUUGCUUCCCUUUGUGACUUCACCUUUUCCUGCAUAAAUACAGAAAGUUGAGCCCCUGUGAAACGAGUCCCUUUGCUUGAUACCUGGCAGAGCUGUAAUUAGGACAUCCCCUGGGCCUGCUGAGGCUUCCUGGAAUGCUUCAAUACCUGAACUACAGGCUGGGAGAGAGAAAGGAGAGAUUCCUACAGGCCCUGCUGGGGGUCCCACCUCAUCUUUUGCUGGACUUUGCUCCUGGGUUUGCUGGUGCCUGCAGGUGGAGGCAUGCUGGAAAGGCUUCAGGCAUGGUGGCUGUUUCAGCCAGCAUACCACUCUUUGCUGUUUGCAGGGACAGGAGGGCUCCUGGACAUGGCAUAGGUCUCAUGUGUUGCCUUUCCUGACGAAAGGAGCUCUUAUUUACCAAGAUUUCAUCUAUUCCUACUGUUUAUUGCCCACGUGAAAUCCUCCUUGUCUCCUGCUGGCCUUGUCCUUGCAAGAGCUGCUGGUUGUGCUCCUGCCGCAGUGGGGAGAGAGAUGGAGACAGGAUGGGAUCAGUGGUUGGCAGCUGACAGUUUCUUUUUAUGUUUCCAUCUGUUCCCUCUCUUCCUUUUUAAUGAGAUCAGGUGCCAGAGUGCACUAGGAAGACUUUUCAAUGUGAGAGGAAGUCACAAAUGGGGUACUCAGGUCCUUGCUUUCAUCCUUGGCAGAGAGACGCUGCUCAAAUCAAACCUCUUGAGCUGUUCCUAUAAUGGGAAACCAAAACUCUGCAGUAAGGCUCACAGCUCCAAUCAGGUGGAUCUGUCCUGCAGCUCGGCCUUGGAACUCAGAGAUGCUUGUGCUGAUGGUCACCAAGAUGCAAACCUGGCUGUUCCUACCCCCACUCAGAGCCAGCUGUUGGCGUUUGGAAGUGCCCUGCAGAGGCACUAG